rfam:Dipodomys ordii contig_43227, whole genome shotgun sequence.
UGGCUCAGUGGUAGAGCAUUUGCCUUGCAUGCAUGAGGCCCUGGGUUCGAUUCCUCAG